rnacentral:misc_RNA from 1 species
GAUGAAGAACGUAGCGAAAUGCGAUACGUAAUGUGAAUUGCAGAUUUCAGUGAAUCAUCGAAUCUUUGAACGCACAUUGCGCCCGCUAGUAUUCUGGCGGGCAUGCCUGUUCGAGCGUCAUUUCGACCAUCAAGCCCCCGGCUUGCGUUGGAGCCCUGCGGCUGCCGCAGGCUCCCAAAUCCAGUGGCGGGCUCGUCGUCGUACCGAGUGCAGUAAACAUCCUCGCUCAGGGAACGUGACGGGUUCUUGCCGUGAAACCCCCCACAUAUCAAGGUUGACCUCGGAUCAGGUAGGAAUACCCGCUGAACUUAAGCAUAUCAAUAAGCGGAGGA